UACAAGAUAUGGCAAACUUGAUGAAAAUCAAGGUCGCAAAGCUAUGGGUCUAAGUACAGUUUUGUAUAUGACUGCCAAGUUGCUGAU
rnacentral:ncRNA from 1 species